UUUAUAUUCUUUAAAAAUUGCUAUAACUUCAAUAUUUUAGAUAACUUAAGAAAUAUUCAUUGAAAAGUAAAUCUUAAAUGCAAUCUUUAUGAAGAGUUCUUAAAUAAGGUCACAUGAUAAAGCUUCAACUUCAAUAAAAUUGAAAAUUCAAGUCAUCUUUUAACUGCAAUCAUGAUUUAUAAUCGAAAUAAAACCCCUCAAGCACAUGGACCGUUGGCGUUGCAAGAACGAAACAAAAACGAAAAAAGCUUCUCGUGUUGUCUUCACUAUGUUACUAUAUUAUGUAGACACAUGCACGUAUAGUAAGUCUUUUCUAGUUGAAAUGUUUUUGUCGAUUUUUUGGAACAAACGACAUUUAUAAUAUCUUCAUCAUAUUUAUACUUUUUUAUUUUUAAUCCCAUAACAGUCUUUAUAUUUUUCACUACCACCAAUAGCGACAUCCUUAACCUUUAACCAAGCAAAGCCUUACGUAAAGGGAUAUUGAGACUACUAGUAUCCUUAAUUUAUAGUAUAACCUAACCAAACCAAAACCAGUAGCGAAUUAUAACAAAAGGUUUGAACAUUUUUAUUCAAAAAGCAAGUAGCUAGAAGCUAUGAGACCCAUCUGUCCCGUGGAUUUCCCCAAUGAACCAAAGGUAUCUGUACACAUGCCCUCAUCAUCAUCAGAUGUACCUCCUUUUUAUAUAUACAUAUUCGAGAAAAGAACUUUAAGAGUGCAUCAGCGAAAGUUCCCUUAGUCUCUAUGCAAUUCCCACCAUCCUGUUUUGAAAUAGAGAAGCCGUGGCAUCGGGACCGGCAUCAGCAUCGGACCUGGUUGUGACUGUUGCUAGCGGCAUUCGCAGCAGCAGCAACUGAAGAGGGAAGCUGCUUCAUUUGCAUUUCGUAUUCUAUUAGCUCCCCAGUGCACCCAUCGCGAACCACAUGACUUUGUUCAGCACGAACGCGAUAUUCACCCUUGACAGGGAUGUGACUUCUUUAGCAUCUUCAGGUAGCUGUAUGCAAACCUCUGGACUAAGUACUAUGGUCCAAUAUGAACUUUUGAUUGAACAAAUU